rnacentral:rRNA from 1 species
CAGCCGCCACGGUAAUACGUAGGUGGCAAGCGUUGUCCGGAAUUAUUGGGCGUAAAGGGCUCGCAGGCGGUUUCUUAAGUCUGAUGUGAAAGCCCCCGGCUCAACCGGGGAGGGUCAUUGGAAACUGGGAAACCUGAGUGCAGAAGAGGAGAGUGGAAUUCCACGUGUAGCGGUGAAAUGCGUAGAGAUGUGGAGGAACACCAGUGGCGAAGGCGACUCUCUGGUCUGUAACUGACGCUGAGGAGCGAAAGCGUGGGGAGCGAACAGGAUUAGAUACCCCCGUAGUCCCUGUCUCUUAUAU